rnacentral:rRNA from 1 species
CCUACGUGAGGCAGCAGUGAGGAAUAUUGGUCAAUGGGCGCGAGCCUGAACCAGCCAAGUAGCGUGAAGGAUGACUGCCCUACGGGUUGUAAACUUCUUUUAUAAAGGAAUAAAGUGAGGCACGUGUGCCCUUUUGUAUGUACUUUAUGAAUAAGGAUCGGCUAACUCCGUGCCAGCAGCAGCGGUAAUACGGAGGAUGCGAGCGUUAUCCGGAUUUAUUGGGUUGAAAGGGUGCGUAGGCGGUCCGUUAAGUCAGCGGUAAAAUUUCGGGGCUCAACCCCGGCGAGCCGUUGAAACUGGCAGACUGGAGUUGGCGAGAAGUACGCGGAAUGCGCGGUGUAGCGGUGAAAUGCAUAGAUAUCGCGCAGAACUCCGAUUGCGAAGGCAGCGUACCGGCGCCAGACUGACGCUGAGGCACGAAAGCGUGGGGAUCGAACAGGAUUAGAUACCCUAGUAGUC